rnacentral:rRNA from 1 species
GAUGAACGCUGGCGGCGUGCCUAAUACAUGCAAGUAGAACGCUGAAGCUUGGUGCUUGCACCGAGCGGAUGAGUUGCGAACGGGUGAGUAACGCGUAGGUAACCUGCCUCUUAGCGGGGGAUAACUAUUGGAAACGAUAGCUAAUACCGCAUAAAAGUCGAUAUCGCAUGAUAUUGAUUUGAAAGGUGCAAAUGCAUCACUAAGAGAUGGACCUGCGUUGUAUUAGCUAGUUGGUGAGGUAACGGCUCACCAAGGCGACGAUACAUAGCCGACCUGAGAGGGUGAUCGGCCACACUGGGACUGAGACACGGCCCAGACUCCUACGGGAGGCGGCAGUAGGGAAUCUUCGGCAAUGGGGGCAACCCUGACCGAGCAACGCCGCGUGAGUGAAGAAGGUUUUCGGAUCGUAAAGCUCUGUUGUAAGAGAAGAACGAGUGUGAGAGUGGAAAGUUCACACUGUGACGGUAACUUACCAGAAAGGGACGGCUAACUACGUG